AGCUUUGUGCAGUAGCAGUAUCGUAGCCUGUGAGGUUUAGCCGAGGCACGAUUAUUGCUAUUUGCUAGAUUGAAAUUUAACACGGUGCAUUACUGCCACCUACGGGUUCUACAGUAUAUUAUCCUUGUACAAAAAAUUAAUUG